GGCGCCAUCGAAUAAGGGUUUAGUUCGCGGCCCUCUCAAGGCUGAAAUACGAGUUCGAAUCUCGUUGGCGCUA
rnacentral:tRNA from 1 species